rnacentral:rRNA from 1 species
AUUGAACGCUGGCGGCAGGCCUAACACAUGCAAGUCGAGCGAGCGGCGGACGGGUGAGUAAUGUCUGGGAAACUGCCCGAUGGAGGGGGAUAACUACUGGAAACGGUAGCUAAUACCGCAUACUAUUAGAUGUGCCCAGUUGGGAUUAGCUAGUUGGGGGGGUAACGGCUCACCAAGGCAACGAUCCCUAGCUGGUCUGAGAGGAUGACCAGCCACACUGGAACUGAGACACGGGCCAGACGCCUACGGGAGGCAGCAGUGGGGAAUAUUGGACAAUGGGCGAAAGCCUGAUGCAGCCAUGCCGCGUGUGUGAUGAAGGCCUUCGGGUUGUAAAGCACUUUCGGCGGGGAGGCGUUACCCGCAGAAGAAGCACCGGCUAACUCCGUGCCAGCAGUCGCGGUAAUUC